GCGAUCAUACUAGCACUAAUGCACUAGAUCCAAUCAGAACUCCGCAAUCGAACGUGCUGGGGUGAGAGGAGUACUAGGAUGUGUGACCUCCUUGGAAGUCCUCGUGUUACACCCC